rnacentral:rRNA from 1 species
GACGAACGCUGGCGGCGUGCUUAACACAUGCAAGUCGAACGGAAAGGCCCUGCUUUUGUGGGGUGCUCGAGUGGCGAACGGGUGAGUAACACGUGAGUAACCUGCCCUUGACUUUGGGAUAACUUCAGGAAACUGGGGCUAAUACCGGAUAGGAGCUCCUGCUGCAUGGUGGGGGUUGGAAAGUUUCGGCGGUUGGGGAUGGACUCGCGGCUUAUCAGCUUGUUGGUGGGGUAGUGGCUUACCAAGGCUUUGACGGGUAGCCGGCCUGAGAGGGUGACCGGCCACAUUGGGACUGAGAUACGGCCCAGACUCCUACGGGAGGCAGCAGUGGGGAAUAUUGCACAAUGGGCGGAAGCCUGAUGCAGCAACGCCGCGUGCGGGAUGACGGCCUUCGGGUUGUAAACCGCUUUCGCCUGUGACGAAGCGUGAGUGACGGUAAUGGGUAAAGAAGCACCGGCUAACUACGUGCCAGCAGCCGCGGUGAUACGUAGGGUGCGAGCGUUGUCCGGAUUUAUUGGGCGUAAAGGGCUCGUAGGUGGUUGAUCGCGUCGGAAGUGUAAUCUUGGGGCUUAACCCUGAGCGUGCUUUCGAUACGGGUUGACUUGAGGAAGGUAGGGGAGAAUGGAAUUCCUGGUGGAGCGGUGGAAUGCGCAGAUAUCAGGAGGAACACCAGUGGCGAAGGCGGUUCUCUGGGCCUUUCCUGACGCUGAGGAGCGAAAGCGUGGGGAGCGAACAGGCUUAGAUACCCUGGUAGUCCACGCUGUAAACGGUGGGUACUAGGUGUGGGGUCCAUUCCACGGGUUCCGUGCCGUAGCUAACGCUUUAAGUACCCCGCCUGGGGAGUACGGCCGCAAGGCUAAAACUCAAAGGAAUUGACGGGGCCCCGCACAAGCGGCGGAGCAUGCGGAUUAAUUCGAUGCAACGCGUAGAACCUUACCUGGGUUUGACAUGGAUCGGGAGCGCUCAGAGAUGGGUGUGCCUCUUUUGGGGUCGGUUCACAGGUGGUGCAUGGCUGUCGUCAGCUCGUGUCGUGAGAUGUUGGGUUAAGUCCCGCAACGAGCGCAACCCUUGUUCACUGUUGCCAGCACGUUAUGGUGGGGACUCAGUGGAGACCGCCGGGGUCAACUCGGAGGAAGGUGGGGAUGACGUCAAGUCAUCAUGCCCCUUACGUCCAGGGCUUCACGCAUGCAACAAUGGCUGGUACAGAGAGUGGCGAGCCUGUGAGGGUGAGCGAAUCUCGGAAAGCCGGUCUCAGUUCGGAUUGGGGUCUGCAACUCGACCUCAUGAAGUCGGAGUCGCUAGUAAUCGCAGAUCAGCAACGCUGCGGUGAAUACGUUCCCGGG